GUAAUAUUAGUAUAAUUUAUUAUUUUUAAUUUUCGAUUAAAAGAUUUAUUAUUAUG
rnacentral:tRNA from 1 species